CAAGACUGGGAGUGGGGGGCGUUGGGAGGCUGAGGGCUUGGACGGCAGCGGGGUCCUCUGCCAAGACCACGCGCCUGGGAGGUGAGGAGCCUUUGGACCUCGAUCUCGACUGCACCCCUGCCUCGAUGCGUGAACUCGAGUAACCCUUCUCUAGGCCCUGAGGUUGGUUAUAAAGUGGUCGACUUAUUCAUUCAUUGAUUCACUUUU